rnacentral:rRNA from 1 species
CCACAAGAUGCCACCCUGAACACACCCAGCCUUUUCUGAUUUCAGAUGCUAAGCAGGGUUGAUCCUGGUUAGUUCUCACAUGGGAGGUCACCAGGGCUAUGGA